rnacentral:misc_RNA from 1 species
AUGAUUUGCAUGGAAGAUAUUAAUUAACAUGCCAAGAUUAAUGUAUUAUUUUUUCCAAGGGAGACUCGGAACAAUUGGGUCUUUACCACAAGGUUAAGCCAGUGCAGAGAAUCCAAUACUUUUAGUAAUUAACACUUGUUUUUAUGCUAUUAAAAAUUCAUGGAUGCUUUGAAUCCUAAACAAAAACAUGGGAUCAGCCAUCAGGUAUCUAUGGAUUGUCUUCAAAUGACUGAUACAGACAGCAACAAAUUAAUUAAUGUCGCUGUCACCUUGAGUCGUUCAAGUGAAGUAUAUUCAAGAAUACAGCGUCAGCAGACCUGACUAAAUCUGUAUUUAUCGACAUUCUUCCAAAUAUGACAGCUAAGUUAUUAUAAAAGUAUUUUUCUAAUGACAGUUUAUGCAUAGAUAAUUGCGUAUGAAAGCGAAAAGAUACCUCAAUUAUUCUAAACUAAUGUUUCGACUCAUGGAUUAUUAUAUAUAAAUUAUUUUUGUUUUGGUCUUUGAAAAUAGAUGCACG